AUUGAACGCUGGCGGCAUGCUUUACACAUGCAAGUCGAACGAGUGGCGGACGGGUGAGUAAUACAUCGGAACGUGCCUAGUAGAGGGGGAUAAGUGGGCGAAAGGGUGGCUAAUACCGCAUAAUCUUCGAGCGGCCGAUGUCGGAUUAGCUCGUUGGUGGGGAAAAGGCCCACCAAGGCGACGAUCCGUAGCGGGUUUGAGAGGAUGAUCGGCCACACUGGGACUGAGACACGGCCCAGACUCCUACGGGAGGCAGCAGGUGGGAAUUUUGGACAAUGGGCGAAAGCCUGAUCCAGCCAUGCCGCGUGUAUGAAGAAGGCCUUCGGGUUGUAAAGUACUUUUGUCAGAGAAGCGGUAUCUGAAGAAUAAGCACCGGCUAACUACGUGCCAGCAGCCGCGGUAAUUC
rnacentral:rRNA from 1 species